AUAUAAUUUUGUAACAAAAUAUUGUAACUUUUUUGAACAGAACCACUUUUUUACAUUUAUUUUUGUGAUGGCCGUAUUAUCAUUCUUAUUUCUUUUCGAUCCGUUAUGCAGUGUCAUUACAUUUUCAUAAAUAAUUUAUAUUAGGUGUACAACUUUGCUUCUGCCAUCUUUUUUCGAAAUUCGAGGCUUUAUUGUGAAAAACUGGUUAUACAUUUACGAUUCAAAGUAUUGUCCAUCGCUGGCUACUACUUUCUCCCAUCUUUCUGGCAGCAUCACGGAGCGAGCGAAAUAGUGACGCUGAUUUGCGAUCCGCGAGACACGUAUCCCACCAAACACCAAGUUACAUGUAACGUUCCUGUUAGUUGUAAUUUCCCACUCACCAAUGUAAUUGUAAUAUAACACACGCAUUAUAUUACAAUUACAUUGUUGAGUGGGAAAUUACAACUAACAAGCAUGUUACAUGUAACUUUGUGUUUGCUGGGAUGAUUUGGCGCGCGACGGGAUCCCGUGCGUGACGGGUUAUCGCGUCACACUUCGCUAAAAGUCUCUCGCGAUAGUUCCGCGCUUGCCGCGAAUAGCCGGUCGCGACGAGAUCGUUCUUUCGUAUUAUCACGUCACGCGUACACUCGACAGUUUCCUGAUGAGAGAACCGUAGAGACAUCACUUGUCAGGAGCGAUUGUUCAAGCUCCGGGGAUCACUUGGUCGAGAGGUUAUACUUUGAUGCUUAAAUAUUAUUGAACGUGUUUUACGGCGGUUGAGAUUCUGGUUCGUGAAAUCCGACUUCCCCGAUGCUCGAUCCUCCCGGUCACGACGGUGUGAUUUUUAAUGUGGUUCGGACUGGCCGAUCCAGCCUCACGUCACAAGGAUGAGCCGCGGUUGGUUGCGCAUCUCAGCAGGCUCGGUCGCGCCGAUCGUGCACGCGCCGGCUUUGUGCUCCGAUCCACGCAAGUUGGGUGCUCCGGCCCCUGGUGCCUCUCACGGCGCCGAUUGUGAUAUGCGACACCGGGAAAGACCGCGCAGCUGAUAACCUGCGGGUAGGAUUCCGUCGCGAUCGGCGCCCGAUCCACGACAUGCUGAGAGGAAAGUCACUGUUAUCAGAGAGUAAUCUGCGUGCAUGUCUAUUUGAAACAUUAAUAACAGAUCAGAAGAUGGAGAUGCAAAGAUAGACGAGACAGAAGAAGUCAGGUCAGGAGAUGAAGACACAGUGGAACCAGAAGAGGAACUUGAAGAAGUGGUUUCGGACGAGGAGUAGCAAAUAGCCCAUACAAUCUGUAAACAUCUUCAGGAAUGGAUGUUGGUUCUGGUAGCUCAGAUUAGCAUAUGAAAGAUAUUGAAGUAUGUAUUCUCAUGACAAGCAACGUGCAACAUGACAACAACAAGCAGCCAUCCGAGGAAUAUCAAUAAGUAAUUGUGUGUCGAUUCUGAUUUAAUCUGAUUUAGUUAAUAUAUUGCAAUAUUAAUUUAUAUAUGUAAUGUUUUAUGUGCAUUUUUUAUAUUUCAUCUUUUUCUAAGAAUGAUACAUAUUUUUUUGUUAGAAUUGUAUGUGUUUAUCUAUCUGAUUGAUUUCCAUAAAAAUUUCAAAAGUAAUUUAGUUACACUAAUUUUUUCCAAAAUAAAAAUAGUGAUUGUGGCACAGUGAGUUGUGUGUCCGUUCUCUGAUUACGUGGUUUUGAAUCCAAGUCUCUUGCACAGAGAGCAGACACACAACUCACUGCGCCAUAGUCGUUUGUAUGGAUAAAGUGCUUUUUUCACAUUAUAUUGUAAGAGCUAAUAAUUAAUAGAAUUAAUCCUUUGAUUAAGUAUUUUAUUUUUGUUUGAACAAAAGGUUUGUCAGAUUCAGGAUGAGUUGACCCAGCAGAUUGCAGUGGAUUUCAAAUAGAUCUUUUCGGGUCAAAAUCUAAAGCAUUUCAAUCAGUUAAUGGAAGGAUGCUUAGUAUUAUCAGAAUUGCAUCCUAAAGUAAAGUAUGUACAUCAUAGAAAUAUUUGUAGAUUUAGUAUAAGCAAUAACAAACGUACGAUAAUGUUUGAAGCAUCUUUUU